AGCGAACGCUGGCGGCAGGCUUAACACAUGCAAGUCGAGCGGGCGUAGCAAUACGUCCGCGGCAGACGGGUGAGUAACGCGUGGGAACGUACCUUUUGGUUCGGAACAACACAGGGAAACUUGUGCUAAUACCGGAUAAGCCCUUACGGGGAAAGAUUUAUCGCCGAAAGAUCGGCCCGCGUCUGAUUAGCUAGUUGGUGAGGUAACGGCUCACCAAGGCGACGAUCAGUAGCUGGUCUGAGAGGAUGAUCAGCCACACUGGGACUGAGACACGGCCCAAACUCCUACGGGAGGCAGCAGUGGGGAAUAUUGGACAAUGGGGGCAACCCUGAUCCAGCCAUGCCGCGUGAGUGAUGAAGGCCCUAGGGUUGUAAAGCUCUUUUGUGCGGGAAGAUAAUGACGGUACCGAAAGAAUAAGCCCCGGCUAACUUCGUG
rnacentral:rRNA from 1 species